rnacentral:lncRNA from 1 species
GGUGGUGCUAAGGUUACGAAAACCUCUGCAUCUCUUCGAGAAAUACAGGAUGAGCAAAGCAAAGUAAUAGAUGCAAAGCCCUUGAAGCCUAGGGACCUGGUAGAAGAUCCCUCUUGUGAUAAUAGUGGUGGUAAAUUACGGUUGAGUUCAUUUUUACAGUCCAAUCCGAUAACCACGUCACAUACAGCACCUGUCACAAAGCCCUUGAAGCCCAGGGACCUGGUAGAAGAUCCCUCUGGUGAUAGUAGUGGUGGUAAAUUACGGUUGAGUUCAUUUUUACAGUCCAAUCCGAUACCCACGUCACAUACAGCACCUGUCUCUGAUGUGGAAAAGAACACCCCUCCUUGGGCUGCCUCCGGUACACCUCCUCUUUUACGUCCAUCUCUCAGGGACAUCCAACUUCAGCAGGUUGGUUAUUCUCUGCCCUGCCUGGCCUCCUUGCGCCAAAUCUAGACUGUCAUGUGUUCACAGAAAGAAAAUUCCCUUGAGAACAUUCAUAUUAUUUGUUUGCAUGCUUGGUGCAUUGUGC